rnacentral:rRNA from 1 species
AGGAUGAACGCUGGCGGCGUGCCUAAUACAUGCAAGUCGAGCGGUAAGGUUCUCACUCUGUAUUUAACGAGUUUGAAUAUAGUGUGAGAAUACACGAGCGGCGGACGGCUGAGUAACACGUAGGAACGUACCCCAAAGUGAGGGAUAAGCACCGGAAACGGUGUCUAAUACCGCAUGUGCUCUUCGGAGUAAAGCUACGGCGCUUUGGGAACGGCCUGCGCAUGAUUAGCUUGUUGGUGAGGUAAUAGCUCACCAAGGCGACGAUCAUUAGCUGGUCUGAGAGGAUGAUCAGCCAGACUGGGACUGAGAACGGCCCAGACUCCUACGGGAGGCAGCAGUAGGGAAUUUCCACAAUGGGCGAAAGCCUGAUGGAGCAACGCCGCGUGCAGGACGAAGGCUUUCGGGUCGUAAACUGCUUUUAUCUGUGACGAUUAUGACGGUAGCAGAUGAAUAAGGAUCGGCUAACUCCGUGCCAGCAG